AGUUCGAUCCUGGCUCAGGACGAACGCUGGCGGCAUGCCUAACACAUGCAAGUCGAACGGAGUUAUUAUUCAGAAGUUCUUCGGGAUGGAAGGAUAAGAACUUAGUGGCGGACGGGUGAGUAACGCGUGGGUAACCUGCCCUUUUGUGGGGAACAACUUCGAGAAAACGGAGCUAAUACCGCAUAAUAAUAGAGGAUCGCAUGAUUCUUUAAGGAAAGAUGGCCUCUGAAGAUGCUAUCGCAAAAGGAUGGACCCGCGUCUGAUUAGCUAGUUGGAAGGGUAACGGCCUACCAAGGCAACGAUCAGUAGCCGGCCUGAGAGGGUGAACGGCCACAUUGGGACUGAGACACGGCCCAAACUCCUACGGGAGGCAGCAGUGGGGAAUCUUCCGCAAUGGGCGAAAGCCUGACGGAGCAAUGCCGCGUGAGUGAAGAAGGCCUUCGGGUUGUAAAACUCUGUCCUUAUCGAAGAGAGGUAGGUAUGUGAAUAAUGUACCUAUAGGACGGUAGAUAAGGAGGAAGCCCCGGCUAACUACGUGCCAGCAGCCGCGGUAAUACGUAGGGGGCGAGCGUUGUCCGGAAUCACUGGGCGUAAAGGGCGCGUAGGCGGUUUAAUAAGUCAGUGGUGAAAACUGAGGGCUCAACCCUCAGCCUGCCACUGAUACUGUUAGACUUGAGUAUGGAAGAGGAGAAUGGAAUUCCCAGUGUAGCGGUGAAAUGCGUAGAUAUUAGGAGGAACACCAGUGGCGAAGGCGAUUCUCUGGGCCAAGACUGACGCUGAGGCGCGAAAGCGUGGGGAGCAAACAGGAUUAGAUACCCUGGUAGUCCACGCCGUAAACGAUGGAUACUAGGUGUUAGUAGUUUCGAUGCUACUAGUGCCGGAGUAAACACAAUAAGUAUCCCGCCUGGGGAGUACGGUCGCAAGACUGAAACUCAAAGGAAUUGACGGGGGCCCGCACAAGCGGUGGAGCAUGUGGUUUAAUUCGACGCAACGCGAAGAACCUUACCAAGACUUGACAUCCUCCUGACAAGAUAUGUAAUGUAUCUCUUUUCUUCGGAGACAGGAGAGACAGGUGGUGCAUGGUUGUCGUCAGCUCGUGUCGUGAGAUGUUGGGUUAAGUCCCGCAACGAGCGCAACCCUUAUUUCUAGUUGCCAGCAGUAAGAUGGGGACUCUAGAGAGACUGCCAGUGACAAACUGGAGGAAGGUGGGGAUGACGUCAAAUCAUCAUGCCCCUUAUGUCUUGGGCUACACACGUGCUACAAUGGUCAGAACAGAGGGAAGCGAAGCCGCGAGGUGGAGCAAAUCCCAGAAAACUGAUCUCAGUUCGGAUUGCAGGCUGCAACCCGCCUGCAUGAAGUCGGAAUCGCUAGUAAUCGCGGGUCAGCAUACCGCGGUGAAUACGUUCCCGGGCCUUGUACACACCGCCCGUCACACCACGAAAGUUAGUAACACCCGAAGCCGGUGGCCUAACCCGCAAGGGAGGGAGCUGUCGAAGGUGGGACUGAUGAUUGGGGUGAAGU
rnacentral:rRNA from 1 species